rnacentral:rRNA from 1 species
GGAUAAGUUACUAAGGGCGUACGGCGGAUGCCUAGGCUCUCAGAGGCGAUGAAGGACGCGUUCAGCUGCGAUAAGCUCCGGUUAGGUGCCUAAAAACCUGUGACCCGGAGAUCUCCGAAUGGGGGAACCCUUCCGAUUUAUCGGAAUUUAUAGCCAACCCGCUGAACUGAAACAUCUAAGUAAGCGGAGGAAAAGAAAAUAAUUUAAUGAUUCCCUAAGUAGUGGCGAGCGAACAGGGAAUAGCCCAAACCUCGGUUGUUACGGCAUCCGGGGGGUUGUAGGACUUGCAUAAUAAUGUAAAAGCUAAGCAGAAGCUUUCUGGAAAGUUAGGCCAUAGCGGGUGAUAGCCCCGUAUGCGUAAACUUUUGCAUUUGGCGAGUAUCCUGAGUAGCGCGGGACCGGAGAAAUCUUGCGUGAAUCUGCCAGCACCAUCUGGUAAGGCUAAAUACUCCUGAGAGACCGAUAGUGAACUAGUACUGCGAAGGAAAGGUGAAAAGUAUCCCGAACAGGGAGGUGAAAAGAACCUGAAAUCGUACGCCUACAAGCGGUCGGAGCCGCGAGCUUGCUCGUGGUGACGGCGUGCCUUUUGCAUAAUGAGCCUACGAGUUACUCCUCACUGGCAAGGUUAAUCCCGUGUACGGGAGCAGCCGAAGCGAAAGCGAGUCUUAACAGGGCGCAUAGUCAGUGGGGGUAGACGCGAAACUUUGUGAUCUACCCUUGGCCAGGAUGAAGUAUCAGUAACAUGAUAUGGAGGUCCGAACCGGUAAACGUUGAAAAGUUUUCGGAUGAGCUGAGGGUAGGGGUGAAAGGCCUAUCAAACUGAGAGAUAGCUCGUACUCCCCGAAAUG